UCUCGGGACUCCUCCGUUGGGGUACCGAAAACGAGACGAGACGCCUGAAAGGGCCCCGGGAAAUUCUAGCUACACACCCCCUCCGUUGAUUGGUCGACAGAAUCAUCACUUCCGGGUGACGCGGGGAUAAAAACAAACAAACAGUAGCCUCGAGGUAUUAUUCUUUACAAUUAACAUGUCGCGUAAAACGCUUGCUUGGGCGAACAAGGAGGUGGAGACGUUCGUCUGCAUUCUUGGGGAGGAAGAAGUUGUUUACGAUGUUUACGUAGCUGCCGCGGCGAUCGACAUCCGGCCUACCACAAAGGGUACUGUCGGCAGUGGAAACGCGACCUCGGAACUGAGCUGGGCCCCGUUUCCCGAAAGCAUCUUUAGCCUAAGUGGAUCGCAGAGUGGGUCGUACGAGCAUCGUACAGUUUUCACACCGUUUCCCGAAAGCAUCUUUGAGCCUCGUUAGCCUACUAUAGCCUCAGUGGCGCAACCAGCGGACAUUCCUAGUAUUGGAUGCGUUUUAUUUUAACACAUUGGUAAUGGUGUAUCACGUGCGUCUGAGCCUAAUGUGGGCCAUUAUGUUCUUAGUUUGAGAGAGACAGUCCAGGAAAUGUUUGAGCAGGCAGGGCACUUAAAAUGUGUGAGAGAAAGUGGGGGGGAUUUGUGCAGACUGACAUAGGCUACUCAUAAAA